rnacentral:rRNA from 1 species
AUACGGAGGAUCCGAGCGUUAUCCGGAUUUAUUGGGUUUAAAGGGUGCGCAGGCGGCCAUUUAAGUCAGCGGUUAAAUCGUGGGGCUCAACCCCAUUCUGCCGUUGAUACUGGGUGGCUUGAUUGCGGUCGAGGUUGGCGGAAUUCGUUGUGUAGCGGUGAAAUGCAUAGAUAUGACGAAGAACACCGAUUGCGUAGGCAGCUGACCAGACCGCAAAUGACGCUCAUGCACGAAAGGGCGGGGAUCGAACAGGAUUAGAUACCCUGGUAGUCCGCACAGUAAACGAUGAAUACUUGUUUUCGGCGAUAUAAUGUCGGAGGCAAAGCGAAAGCGAUAAGUAUUCCACCUGGGGAGUACGCCGGCAACGGUGAAACUCAAAUGAAUUGACGGGG